rnacentral:rRNA from 1 species
UUGACCUCGGAUCAGGUAGGGAUACCCGCAAGUCUUAAGCAUAUCAAUAAGCGGAGGA